AUGCCGCUUCAUCACACUAAUUGCCUAGGAUUGCAACUACAACAUCCACUGACUGCAUUACUGGAACUACAUGACAUGGCUCGCUGCCCAAAUUGCCCACUUGCCCCCUUGAGAUUGGACCCCUACAGAAGAUCUGUUCAAAUCUUUGUGCUCGAUCAUGUUCCAAAUGGAGUAGAUGCGAAAUCUCACCUGGUUUAUGUUGCCGCUUUGGCAUGCAACUAUGUUGGGUGUGUUCCCAUAGGCACAUCCUGCAUUUUGUCUAGUGCAACAAGGAGUGCCUACUGUGGCUUUGCUACAUUGCUUUAA
rnacentral:rRNA from 1 species